UAAAAAACCAUAAAAAUGUUUAUUUUGUUUUUUUUAUUAUUUAUUUUAUUAUAAAUUUGUCAGCCCAGUUCAUAUAUUUAUGGUAGUACCUCAAUAGCAGAUAGUGUUGAGUGGCCUAGUGGAGAGAUGGUAGUUGCAUAAUAUUAGGUGGGGAGGGUUCAAUACUCAUGUGUGGCUAUUUUUGGCAUUUUAUUUCUUUUAGCUAUAUUAUUUUUCUUUUAGCAUUUUCAUUUCUUUUUAUGUUUAUGCCUUUAUUACACUCAUAUGUUCAUUUUGUUAAUAAUGUAAAGUUGUUGUAUUUUAAUU
rnacentral:lncRNA from 1 species